UUUUAAAUUAUCUUUACCAAUUGCUUAGAAAUAAUAACUUUUAAAUUCUCUGGUAUAUCGACUGGAAAACCAUAAUCCUAUAACCUGACAAUUGCACUAUUGUCAUAGUAGAACCUUGGGUGACAACGCCACGUACCAGUGAAUAAAUUAAUAAGAUAAAAGGCAUAAUAGUCGACUGAACUAGUUGUUGCAUGCGCUAGCUUCCCCU
rnacentral:lncRNA from 1 species